GUCAGAUGAGUGAUUGCGGCUGCAUUUAUGCAGGUGAGGAAAGUCCGGGCUUCAUAGGGCAGGAUGCCGGAUAACGUCCGGUGGAGGUAACUCCCAGGCCAGUGCAACAGAAAUAAACCGCCGAUUUUAUCGGUAAGGGUGGAAAGGCGAGGUAAGAGCUCACCGCUGGACCGGUAACGGGACAGGCUCUGUAAACCCCAUCCGAAGCAAGGUCAAACAUAGGACCAUACGGCUGCCCGUCGUGUCCUUAGGUAGACCGCUUGAACCUUGUGGCAACAUAAGGUCUAGAUAGAUAAUCACUCUCGACAUAACCCGGCUUACAGUCUGGCUUA
rnacentral:RNase_P_RNA from 1 species